rnacentral:rRNA from 1 species
AGCGCAGACGGUUUAUUAAGUCUGAUGUGAAAGCCCGGAGCUCAACCCCGGAAUGGCAUUGGAAACUGGUUAACUUGAGUGCAGUAGAGGAAAGUGGAACUCCAUGUGUAGCGGUGGAAUGCGUAGAUAUAUGGAAGAACACCAGUGGCGAAGGCGGCUUACUGGACUGCAACUGACGUUGAGGCUCGAAAGUGUGGGUAGCAAACAGGAUUAGAUACCCUGGUAGUCCACACCGUAAACGAUGAACACUAGGUGUUAGGAGGUUUCCGCCUCUUAGUGCCGAAGCUAACGCAUUAAGUGUUCCGCCUGGGGAGUACGACCGCAAGGUUGAAACUCAAAGGAAUUGACGGGGGCCCUGCA